UUGACCUCAAAUCGGGUGAGACUACCCGCUGAACUUAAGCAUAUCAAUAAGCGGAGGAAAAGAAACUAACAAGGAUUCCCCUAGUAACUGCGAGUGAAGCGGGAAAAGCUCAAAUUUAAAAUCUGGCGGUCUUUGGCUGUCCGAGUUGUAAUUUAGAGAAGCGUCUUCCGCGCCGGA
rnacentral:rRNA from 1 species